rnacentral:rRNA from 1 species
GUUGAACGCUGGCGGCGUGCCUAACACAUGCAAGUCGAGCGAAGCACUUACUUUAGAUUUCUUCGGAAUGACGAAGUUUGUGACUGAGCGGCGGACGGGUGAGUAACGCGUGGGCAACCUGCCCUGUACAGGGGGAUAACAGUUAGAAAUGACUGCUAAUACCGCAUAAGCCCACAGCUUCGCAUGAAGCAGUGGGAAAAACUCCGGUGGUACAGGAUGGGCCCGCGUCUGAUUAGCUAGUUGGUAAGGUAACGGCUUACCAAGGCGACGAUCAGUAGCCGACCUGAGAGGGUGACCGGCCACAUUGGGACUGAGACACGGCCCAAACUCCUACGGGAGGCAGCAGUGGGGAAUAUUGCACAAUGGGGGAAACCCUGAUGCAGCGACGCCGCGUGAGCGAUGAAGUAUUUCGGUAUGUAAAGCUCUAUCAGCAGGGAAGAAAGUGACGGUACCUGACUAAGAAGCCCCGGCUAACUACGUG